rnacentral:lncRNA from 1 species
AUUAUCUCCUCCCUCUAGAAUGUAGACUGUCUGAGAUUAAAGAUUGUGGUCUGUUUUGUCUGCUGUGGUAUCCCCAGCCCUUAGAGCAGAGCCUGACACAUAGUGCACAUGGCCUUUGACUGUUCCUCUCACUCCUUCCUGGCUUGUCAUCUUACUCCAUGCCUCGACCGUUCUGGCCAUUAAGAAUAAAGCUGCUAUGAACAUGGAUGGACAAAGCUCUGUGUGGACUUCUGUGUUUAUUUGUAUUUGGUAAACACCAAGGAGUGGGAUUACUGGGUCGUAAGCAAGUGAAUAUUUAAUUUUAUAAGAAACAACUGAAGUAUUUUCUGAAGUGGCUGUACCAUUUGGCAUUCCCACCAGAAAUAUGAGAUUUCUAGUUGCUCCAUAUCUUUGCCAGUAUUUGAUAUGAUCCAUUCUGUUGUUUAUUUGUGCUGUUUUGUUUUAAUUUUAGCCAUCCUAAUAGGUGGAUAGUGGCAUCUGACCAUGGUUUUACUUUGUGUUUCUCUGGUGACUAAUGAUAUAAAGUAUUUUUC